rnacentral:rRNA from 1 species
CNACCUGCCGCUUACUCGGGGAUAGCCUUUCGAAAGAAAGAUUAAUACCCGAUGGUAUAAAGGGUUCNCAUAUUCUCUUUAUUAAAGAAUUUCGGUAAGCGAUGGGGAUGCGUUCCAUUAGAUAGUUGGCGGGGUAACGGCCCACCAAGUCUACGAUGGAUAGGGGUUCUGAGAGGAAGGUCCCCCACAUUGGAACUGAGACACGGUCCAAACUCCUACGGGAGGCAGCAGUGAGGAAUAUUGGUCAAUGGACGAGAGUCUGAACCAGCCAAGUAGCGUGAAGGAUGACUGCCCUAUGGGUUGUAAACUUCUUUUAUAAGGGAAUAAAGUGAGGGACGUGUCCCUUUUUGUAUGUACCUUAUGAAUAAGGAUCGGCUAACUCCGUGCCAGCAGCCGCGGUAAUACGGAGGAUCCAAGCGUUAUCCGGAUUUAUUGGGUUUAAAGGGAGCGUAGGUUGACAUAUAAGUCAGCUGUGAAAGUUUACGGCUCAACCGUGAAAUUGCAGUUGAUACUGUAUGUCUUGAGUGUACAAGAGGUGGGCGGAAUUCGUGGUGUAGCGGUGAAAUGCUUAGAUAUCACGAAGAACUCCGAUUG